AGCGUAUAUUAAAGUUGUUGCAGUUAAAAAGCUCGUAGUUGAAUUUCGGGAUUAGUACGUUGGUCGUGCCUUCGGUACGUACUGGUGUUACUGAUUCCUACCUUCUGACGAACCAUCAUGUCAUUAAUUUGGUGUGGNGGGGAAUCAGGACUGUUACUUUGAAAAAAUUAGAGUGUUUAAAGCAGGCUCGCGCUUGAAUACAUUAGCAUGGAAUAAUGAAAUAGGACGUUGACCCUAUUUUGUUGGUUUCUAGGAUUGACGUAAUGAUUAAUAGGGAUAGUUGGGGGCAUUAGUAUUCAAUUGUCAGAGGUGAAAUUCUUGGAUUUAUUGAAGACUAACUACUGCGAAAGCAUUUGCCAAGGAUGUUUUCAUUAAUCAAGAACGAAAGUUAGGGGAUCGANNNCGAUCAGAUACCGUCGUAGUCUUAACCAUAAACUAUGCCGACUAGGGAUCGGAUGAUGU
rnacentral:rRNA from 1 species